UAGCGGAGGAAAAGAACCAACAGGGAUUGCCCCAGUAACGGCGAGUGAAGCGGCAACAGCUCAAAUUUGAAAUCUGGCCCCCCGGCCCGAGUUGUAAUUUGCAGAGGAUGCUUUUGGUGAGGCACCCACCGAGUCCCCUGGAAUGGGGCGCCAUAGAGGGUGAGAGCCCCGUAUGGUAGGACGCCGAACCUCUGUAAAGCUCCUUCGACGAGUCGAGUAGUUUGGGAAUGCUGCUCUAAAUGGGAGGUAAAUUUCUUCUAAAGCUAAAUACCGGCCAGAGACCGAUAGCGCACAAGUAGAGUGAUCGAAAGAUGAAAAGCACUUUGAAAAGAGGGUUAAAAAGUACGUGAAAUUGUUGAAAGGGAAGCGCUUGUGACCAGACUUGCGCCGGGCGGAUCAUCCAGCGUUCUCGCUGGUGCACUCCGCCCGGUUCAGGCCAGCAUCGGUUUUCGCCGGGGGACAAAGGCUUCGGGAACGUGGCUCCUCUCGGGGAGUGUUAUAGCCCGUUGCGUAAUACCCCGGCGGGGACCGACGACCGCGCUUCGGCAAGGAUGCUGGCGUAAUGGUCAUCAGCGACCCGUCUUGAAACACGGACCGAGGAGUCAAGCAUUAGUGCGAGUGUUUGGGUGUAAAACCCGCACGCGUAAUGAAAGUGAACGUAGGUGAGAGCUUCGGCGCAUCAUCGACCGAUCCUGAUGUUUUCGGAAGGAUUUGAGUAGGAGCAUUAACGCUUGGACCCGAAAGAUGGUGAACUAUACUUGAAUAGGGUGAAGCCAGAGGAAACUCUGGUGGAGGCUCGCAGCGGUUCUGACGUGCAAAUCGAUCGUCAAAUUUGAGUAUAGGGGCGAAAGACUAAUCGAACCAUCUAGUAGCUGGUUUCAGCC
rnacentral:rRNA from 3 species